rnacentral:rRNA from 1 species
GACGAACGCUGGCGGCGUGCCUAAUACAUGCAAGUCGAACGAGAGCGACCGGUGCUUGCACUGGUCAAUCUAGUGGCGAACGGGUGAGUAACACGUGGGUAACCUGCCCAUCAGAGGGGGAUAACAUCCGGAAACGGAUGCUAAAACCGCAUAGGUCUUCGAACCGCAUGGUUUGAAGAGGAAAAGAGGCGCAAGCUUCUGCUGAUGGAUGGACCCGCGGUGCAUUAGCUAGUUGGUGAGGUAACGGCUCACCAAGGCCGUGAUGCAUAGCCGACCUGAGAGGGUGAUCGGCCACAUUGGGACUGAGACACGGCCCAAACUCCUACGGGAGGCAGCAGUAGGGAAUCGUCCGCAAUGGACGCAAGUCUGACGGAGCAACGCCGCGUGAGUGAAGAAGGUUUUCGGAUCGUAAAACUCUGUUGUUAGAGAAGAACAAGUGCUAGAGUAACUGUUAGCGCCUUGACGGUAGCUAACCAGAAAGCCACGGCUAACUACGUG